ACAGAUAUCGUAUAAUGGUUAUUACUCUCGACUUCCACUCGAAAAAUGUCAGUUCGAUUCUGACUAUCUGUA
rfam:Macrophomina phaseolina MS6 contig00923, whole genome shotgun sequence.